GGCCUUGACAUACUAAGAACUUUCCAGAGAUGGAUUGGUGCCUUCGGGAACUUAGAUACAGGUGCUGCAUGGCUGUCGUCAGCUCGUGUCGUGAGAUGUUGGGUUAAGUCCCGCAACGAGCGCAACCCUUUUCCUUAUUUGCCAGCGGGUUAAGCCGGGAACUUUAAGGAUACUGCCAGUGACAAACUGGAGGAAGGCGGGGACGACGUCAAGUCAUCAUGGCCCUUACGGCCAGGGCUACACACGUGCUACAAUGGUCGGUACAAAGGGUUGCUACCUCGCGAGAGGAUGCUAAUCUCAAAAAGCCGAUCGUAGUCCGGAUCGCAGUCUGCAACUCGACUGCGUGAAGUCGGAAUCGCUAGUAAUCGCGGAUCAGAAUGCCGCGGUGAAUACGUUCCCGGGCCUUGUACACACCGCCCGUCACACCAUGGGAGUUUGUUGCACCAGAAGUAGGUAGUCUAACCGCAAGGAGGACGCUUACCACGGUGUGGCCGAUGACUGGGGUGAAGUCGUAACAAGGUAAGCGUAGAUGA
rnacentral:rRNA from 1 species